rfam:Bombyx mori DNA, contig: Bm_scaf28_contig18224, strain: p50T/Dazao, build 2, whole genome shotgun sequence.
UUAACUCAAAUUUGUAUGGAGCUGGAACUUUUGCGUACGUUUGCCGCUAGGGGCGCUGAUCUACCUCCAUACAAAUUUGAGUUA